rnacentral:rRNA from 1 species
AUUGAACGCUGGCGGCAUGCCUUACACAUGCAAGUCGAACGGCAGCACGGGGGCUUGCACCUGUUGGCGAGGGGCGAACGGGGGAGUAAUACAUCGGAACAUGUCCUGUAGUGGGGGAGAGCCCGGCGGAAGCCGGAUUAAUACCGCAUACGAUCUACGGAUGAAAGAGGGGGACCUGCGGGCCUCGCGCUAUCGGGUUGGCCGGUGGCGGAUUAGCUAGUUGGUGGGGUAAAGGCCUACCAAGGCGACGAUCAGGAGCCGGUCUGAGAGGAGGACCCGCCCCACUUGGACUGAGGCACGGCCCCGACUCCUACGGGAGGCCGCAGUGGGGAAUUUUGGACAAUGGGCGAAAGCCUGAUCCAGCAAUGCCGCGUGUGUGAAGAAGGCCUUCGGGUUGUAAAGCACUUUUGUCCGGAAAGAAAUCCUUGGCCCUAAUACGGUCGGGGGAUGACGGUACCGGAAGAAUAAGCACCGGCUAACUACGUG